GAAAAACCCAAAACCCCUCCUCAAGUUCACGUAAAAGAACAGAAACCCUUUCCUUCAUCCAUUCACGUCGUCCUUGCUUCUGCCAGCCGCCACCACCGCCGGACCUCCUCCCGCCGCAACCACCACUCGUCGCCGAGCAUCCUAGCGCAGCCGCUGCAUAACCUCGACCACCGCCACCUUGCACGCCACCACCUCCGCGACCACCACUGUCGCGUAACCGGCAACCACCGCAGCCCUCGCCGCUGCUUUUCCCCUCCAGCCAACGUCUC